CAAGGGACAAAUCCACUCAUGCAUACCUGCUUUUCAAGCAAGAACAGGCCUCAAGAACAUCAUCAGUGGUGCGUGGUGCCCUGCCGCCUCCAAUCUCCGUAGAGAAAGAGAGAGGGAGAGAACUGGACGGCGGCGAAGGAGACGACGAUGCAGUGGUACUUGGUGGCCGCGCUCCUCACGGUCCUCACGAGCUCCCAGGGUAUAUUGACUACUCUCUCCCAGAGCAAUGGCAAAUAUAAGUAUGACUAUGCCACGAUUCCCUUUCUAGCAGAAUUCUUCAAGUUGUCUGUAUCCAGCUUCUUCCUUUGGAAGGAAUGCCAGUCUUCGUCUCCACCAAGGAUGACAAAGGAGUGGAGGAGUGUGCGGCUAUAUCUUGUUCCUUCAGUCAUAUACCUCAUCCACAACAAUGUCCAGUUUGCAACCUUGACAUAUGUUGAUCCAUCUACCUAUCAGAUAAUGGGAAACCUGAAAAUUGUCACAACUGGAAUAUUGUUUUGGCUUGUACUAAAAAGGAAGCUGUCAAAUCUCCAAUGGAUGGCAAUCGUCUUACUGGCUAUUGGUACAACUACUAGCCAGGUGAAAGGAUGUGGAGAUGCACCGUGUGAUUCUCUUUUCUCAGCACCAUUUCAGGGUUACAUGCUCGGGAUACUUUCGGCUUGUCUUUCAGCACUAGCUGGUGUCUACACAGAGUACUUGAUGAAGAAGAACAAUGAUAGUUUGUACUGGCAAAAUGUACAGUUAUAUACGUUUGGAGUUAUAUUCAACAUGGGAUGGCUAAUUUAUGGUGACUUUAAAGCUGGAUUUGAGUUGGGUCCGUGGUGGCAACGCCUCUUGAAUGGCUAUUCUAUCAGAACAUGGAUGGUUGUCUUCAAUUUAGGGUCUACUGGUCUACUAGUAUCAUGGUUGAUGAAGUAUUCAGACAAUAUAGUAAAGGUGUACUCAACUUCAAUGGCUAUGCUUUUGACGAUGGUUUUAUCUAUAUAUCUUUUCAGUGUGAAAGCUACAAUCCAGCUUUUCUUAGGCAUUAUCAUCUGCAUAAUUUCCCUGCAGAUGUAUUUUAUGCCUGUGCACAUGCUUGUUGAAUUGCCACAAACAUUGCCAGUUACAUCAAAGUAAGUUCAUGUCACUGUUAGCUAACCUAUUGAGGGUAGGGCACUGUUGCCUGAAGAAGCAAGUUGACUAGCUGUAGCUCAGCUCUAUUUGAGUCAUCCAUUUGAAGUUUGAGCCUGCAAUCUCAACAGCUAUGGUUAGUUUCAUGCUGCAGAAAAGGUGAAUAAACUGUGAGAACUUGAUGGAAAUGUAUCGCGGGAGUGGAUUCCGUGUGGUGGUUGAGAUUCAGUUUGGAAGCAAGGAGCUGGCAUGGUACUUGUUGAAAUAUCUCGAGCAAGUGCCAGAUGGUUUUUUAUGUUCAUCGAAAAACAAUAUAAGUUGGUAUAGCUGUACUUGAAAAUUGUUGCUAGAUUUAUUGGUGGCACCCUGCUUUUGCUAGUUAUAGUCCAUCCCAGAGUCCCUUGAAUAAUGUGACUGCUCCAAAAGUCAGUUAUUGCAUAUUAGCCUGUAUAACUAAGUAUAGCUUGUUUCAUUGGCAUAGCAGUGCUUACUUGGGUACUGGGUCAUGUGUACUAAAUUCUCUGCCUGGGAGCUUAGUACUCUAUGACCACCUAUGAAAACAUGGGCACUGUUAGCCUAACCACCAGGAUGUGUAUGGAAAUAAGGCAAGUAUGAAGUUCCCUGGACCAAAUCAGAGGCAUUAUACUGCAGGAUACCUCUGUUGUAGGUCUGAGUAUACACUGCUAAUUCAGUUCACUUUUGAUUUUUGAUUUGGUGCAAGAAGCUCUAGGCUAGAAACUAUUUGCUAGUCCUGUGCUCUUGAGCUUAUCAUUUUUCCAUGGCAUGCUGAAUCUCUUUGAUUGGCAGCAUUGAAUUAUUAGCCUCCAGGUGACCUGGAUCUAGUCUACUUUCUAGGGUUCUGGACGCUCGACAUGUGAACAAUGAUCCUUGCUUAAAUCUUGCUAGGAUGAGUCAAGGGAUGAUUUUGCUGCCCAGAUACACAAAUAUU